AUUGAACGCUGGCGGCAGGCCUAACACAUGCAAGUCGAGCGAGCGGCGGACGGGUGAGUAAUGUAUGGGGACUGCCUGAUAGAGGGGGAUAACUACUGGAAACGGUGGCUAAUACCGCAUACUAUCGGAUAACCCAUAUGGGAUUAGGUAGUUGGUGAGGUAAAGGCUCACCAAGCCGACGAUCUCUAGCUGGUCUGAGAGGAGGACCAGCCACACUGGAACUGAGACACGGCCCAGACUCCUACGGAGGCAGCAGUGGGGAAUAUUGCGCAAUGGGGGCAACCCUGACGCAGCCAUGCCGCGUGAAUGAAGAAGGCCUUCGGGUUGUAAAGUACUUUCAGUGGGGAGGCGUUACCUACAGAAGAAGCACCGGCUAACUCCGUGCCAGCAGCCGCGGUAAUUC
rnacentral:rRNA from 1 species